CGGGGUGCAGCAGGCGCGAAAACUCUACAAUGCAGGCAACUGCGAUAGGGGAACAUCGAGUGAUACUCAUUUUGGGUGUCUGUCCCACCGUCUAAAAAACGGUGGUUAGCAAGGGCCGGGCAAGACCGGUGCCAGCCGCCGCGGUAAUACCGGCGGCUCGAGUGGUGGCCGAUAUUAUUGAGUCUAAAGGGUCCGUAGCCGGCUUUGCAAGUCUUUUGGGAAAUCCAGCGGCUUAACCGUUGGUCGUCCGGGAGAUACUACAUUGCUUGGGACUGGGAGAGGUAAGAGGUACUCAGGGGGUAGGAGUGAAAUCCUGUAAUCCUUUGGGGACCACCGGUGGCGAAGGCGUCUUACCAGAACAGGUCCGACGGUGAGGGACGAAAGCUAGGGGCACGAACCGGAUUAGAUACCCGGGUAGUCCUAGCCGUAAACGAUGCUCGCUAGGUGUCACAACAAUCGUGAAUUGUUGUGGUGCCGUAGGGAAGCCGUGAAGCGAGCCACUUGGGAAGUACGACCGCAAGGUUGAAACUUAAAGGAAUUGGCGGGGGAGCACAAGGGCGAAUNGCG
rnacentral:rRNA from 1 species